UACGUAGGGUGCGAGCGUUAAUCGGAAUUACUGGGCGUAAAGCGUGCGCAGGCGGUUUUGUAAGCCAGAUGUGAAAUCCCCGGGCUUAACCUGGGAAUGGCAUUUGGGACUGCAAGGCUGGAGUGCGGCAGAGGAGACUGGAAUUCCUGGUGUAGCAGUGAAAUGCGUAGAUAUCAGGAGGAAUACCGAUGGCGAAGGCAGGUCUCUGGGCUGACACUGACGCUCAUGCACGAAAGCGUGGGGAGCAA
rnacentral:rRNA from 1 species